ensembl:snRNA U6 U6 spliceosomal RNA
GUGCUCGCUUCAGCAGCACAUAUACUAAAAUUGGAAUGAUAUAGAGAUUAGCAUGGCCCCUGAGCAAGGAUGACACGCAAAUUAGUGGAGCAUUCCAUAUUUUU